rnacentral:lncRNA from 1 species
UAAAUGUUUACUGAUUUUCUGAGACUCCUACCCUUUACACCUGUCCUCUUCUACCCUUUACAUCUGUCAGGCAGAUUCUUUCCAACCAGCUUUUCAAUGUUAGUCUGACUAGACCAAGGUAAAGCAAUCCCCAUGCGAAACGCACUGAAAGCUUUCUUCUCUCCUCUUUCUCCUCAAGGCUGUGAAGUGGAAACCAGGGAUACCAAAUUGGCAGGGACCCUGCUGUGGACCCUACUGUUCUUCAAGAGAUACAAGACUUAGACAGAAACGAAAGGAGCUUUUUCGUUUCCUCAGACAGGACAACUGAAUCAGUGAAUGAAGCCGGCAAAGUAUUGAAGAGCAGGAUUGACCUUCAGCCAAAUAUUUCAGAAUAUAUGCAGAGCGCAAUGUGCWUCAAGCUGUGUGAUUCAAUGGGAAGGAAGCAUACCGCUAUAGGAGGUCAUCAAGAAAGUAAGAUAAAACAGCACUCUGAAAGGAACAACAGCAGGACAUCACUUAAAAUAUUAUCCAG